UAGCCGUAAACGAUACUCGCUAGGUGUCGGCCACGGUGCGACCGUUGUCGGUGCCGUAGGGAAGCCGUGAAGCGAGCCACCUGGGAAGUACGGCCGCAAGGCUGAAACUUAAAGGAAUUGGCGGGGGAGCACAACAACGGGUGGAGCUUGCGGUUUAAUUGGAUUCAACGCCGGAAAUCUUACCGGGACCGACAGCAACAUGAAGGCCAAGCUGAAGACUCUGCCGGAUUAGCUGAGAGGUGGUGCAUGGCGUAGUCGUGU
rnacentral:rRNA from 1 species